CCUGAUCCAGCAAUGCCGCGUGAGUGAUGAAGGCCUUCGGGUUGUAAAGCUCUUUCGCACGCGAGGAUGAUGACGCUAGCGUGAGAAGAAGCCCCGGCUAACUUCGUGCCAGCAGCCGCGGUAAUACGAAGGGGGCGAGCGUUGUUCGGAUUUACUGGGCGUAAAGGGCGCGUAGGCGGUUUUUCAAGUCAGGCGUGAAAGCCCCGGGCUCAACCUGGGAAUGGCGCUUGGGACUGGAGGACUGGAGUUCGGGAGAGGAGCGUGGAAUUCCCAGUGUAGAGGUGAAAUUCGUAGGUAUUGGGAAGAACACCGGUGGCGAAGGCGGCGCUCUGGACCGAGACUGACGCUGAGGCGCGAAAGCGUGGGGAGCAAACAGGAUUAGAUACCCUGGUAGUCCACGCGGUAAACGAUGUGUGCUAGACGUUGGGGGGCCUAGCUCCCCGGUGUCGCCGCUAACGCUUUAAGCACACCGCCUGGGGAGUACGGCCGCAAGGUUAAAACUCAAAGGAAUUGACGG
rnacentral:rRNA from 1 species